AAUUAUUUAGUUUAUACAAAAUAUUGGCUUGUCAAGUCGGAGAAUUAAUUUUUUUAAAAUAAUUA
rnacentral:tRNA from 1 species